rnacentral:rRNA from 1 species
UACGUAGGGUGCGAGCGUUAAUCGGAAUUACUGGGCGUAAAGGGUGCGCAGGCGGUUUUGUAAGUCAGAUGUGAAAUCCCCGGGCUUAACCUGGGAACUGCGUUUGAAACUACAAGACUAGAGUGUAGCAGAGGGGGGUGGAAUUCCAUGUGUAGCAGUGAAAUGCGUAGAGAUAUGGAAGAACACCGAUGGCGAAGGCAGCCCCCUGGGUUAACACUGACGCUCAGGCACGAAAGCGUGGGGAGCAAACAGGAUUAGAUACCCCCGUA